AUACAUUCAUGGAACUGGUUGUUAAAUAAAGAGACAGAAAGGUCUAAUUUGCUGGUUCAUUAAGCUAGCUUAUUUCAAGACACCAUGCAUAUUGCUCUGAAUUUCAUAUUUCCGAGCAGUGGAGACAAUAGUAGUAUCCAUCUCUAAUGUAGUGUGGCAGACAAUUAGGAGCUCAAAUGUAUAAAAUCUCAUUUCAUCAGAGAUAUACACAGCGAGUAUUAUAUUAUUGCCAAAUACUGUCAUCAUCACAUCUCUUCAACAGCUAUUGUGAUACCUGAUUCACAUGCUUAAAUUUGCAUUAAACACUGUGCUAACAACAGUAAUAAUUUGGGCUGUGUUUUCUUAUGUGACAUUAUUCUGUUCUUUUGUGUGUGUUCACCCAAAGCUAGUUUCAAGGGUGCAAAGUUUUACACCCACUUGAUACAGGAGAGGCAGCUAUAGCACUGAGGAAAGGCCAUGAUUUUGGGGUCAAAAACAGGCACUCCAGUCCUAAUGUUGCCUCUUUCAAGUAAGGUAAUAUUGGGAGGGACACUUAACUUAAAAUAGAACUAGAAGAAAGAAUCUUCCUUUAUUGUUUUACAUAUUCUUUGUCAGAUUCUUAAAAUUGCAAAAACAUUGCUUUUUGAAACAAAUGAAAUUAUACAACAAAAAGGCUAAUUAUUCAUUCUUCCAUCUUCCUUGACUAUCCCUAUAGCCUGUUUCUCUUCAAGUAAGUAAUAUUAGUGAUUUAGUAUAUGUCUAUCUUUCACUACCUCCCAUGAACCCCUACAAGUAAUUUAACCUAAAUAAAAUGUGGUCUUUCCUUUCUUUUUCGAUCUCAGCUCACUGCAACCUCCGACUCCUGGUUCAGGAGAAUUGCCUGAACCCAGGAGGUGGAGGUUGCGGUGAGCCGAGAUCGUGCCAUUGCACUCCAGCCUGGGCAACAAGAGUGAAACUCCGUCUCAAAAAAAAAUUUAAUUAAUUAAUUUAAAAAAAUAAUUGAAACAGAUCAGAAAAUACAAGAUGAAGGAAUUAGGAGAAAAGGCUUUUAAACAGCUACUAAAAAAAACCAUUAUGAGGAAUCUCAAUAGAGAAAUGGAAAUGAUAAAAAAGAACCAAAUUAAAAUCUAAAAACUGAAAAAUACAAGAUUUGACAUAAAAAUUCACUGGAUAGGAUUAGUAAGACACUGCAGAAGAAAAUAUUAGUGAACUCAAAGACAAAGUAAUAGUAAGCAGUCAACUUGAAGCAUGCAGAGAAUAAAAGAUUUAAAAAAAAACAAAACUGAAUAGAGUUUGAGCGACCUAUGGGAUCAUAUCAG
rnacentral:lncRNA from 1 species